UACGUAGGGUCCGAGCGUUGUCCGGAAUUACUGGGCGUAAAGGGCGCGUAGGCGGCCUUCUUAGUCGGACGUGAAAUCCCCAGGCUCAACUUGGGAACUGCGUCCGAUACUGGAUGGCUUGAGUGCGGGAGAGGGAUGUGGAAUUCCAGGUGUAGCGGUGAAAUGCGUAGAUAUCUGGAGGAACACCGGUGGCGAAGGCGGCAUCCUGGACCGACACUGACGCUGAGGCGCGAAAGCUAGGGGAGCAAACGGG
rnacentral:rRNA from 1 species